rnacentral:rRNA from 1 species
UACGAGGGGGGCAAGCGUUGUUCGGAAUUAUUGGGCGUAAAGGGUGCGUAGGCGGUUUGAUAAGUCUUAUGUGAAAUCUCUGGGCUCAACCCAGAGUCUGCAUAGGAAACUGUCGGGCUUGAGUAUGGGAGAGGUGAGUGGAAUUUCCGGUGUAGCGGUGAAAUGCGUAGAUAUCAUUUGGAACGCCAAUGGUGAAAACAGGUCGCUGGGAGUGUGCUGACGCUGAGACACGAAAGCCAGGGGAGCGAACGGG